GCAACCUCGGUGCCCCCUCCCCAACCGCCACCGCCACCGACCCCACCCUCUCCCCCAUCCCCUACUCUCACCUUCUCUCCUUAAACUAGGCGGCCACCAGAACGAGCAGGCCAAGGCGCUUCCCGAUUUGCGGCGCUGCUUCCGGAUCCGCCCGAGCAGAGCCAAAGGUCGGCUCCUGCGUUGUUCUGAGCCAAGGUUGGCCUCCUCUUCCUUCUCGGCGUGGUCCAUGGCGCUAAUUCAGGACGGUACCGCCUCUCCGGUUCCCCAUCCCACCCCUAAAUCAAUAGAUGGAUCUCCAUGGUUGAUGUGUUUUCCUACUGCUCUGGUUGGUCGCAGGUGAGGCACUCAAUACCAUGGCCAGACGGAGGUUGGGUGAUUUCCUUCCCUGACCUCGCCGCCUAGCUACUCCACCGUGAGCUUCUCGUCCCCAGUGGCGUACAAGACGUCCUCCUCCUCGAUGCAGCCGUUCCCAAUGAGCUCUCUUUGCUGGAUGAGGUGCAGAAGCAAGUCCAGCACCCCCUUGGCCCUUGCAACAUAUCCUACAUCGCAUGGACGAGCUCACGCACUGAUGGCUGCAUCCUCCUUACGUCCUAGCGUGAUAUUGGUUUAUGGGAGCAUUUUAUAGUGUGACACAUUUUUCAUCAUGUGGCAGAUAUUGGUUUAUGGGAGCAUUUUCAACAACAAAGACAUGACGAUCGGAUCCACGGCCAGGAACGCGGGAUGACCACUGGUUGACAUCGGAUGAGCAUUGUGCGUUGCUUGACGGGUGUGGUGUUGGCUGUAGGGUAGCAUAGUGUUCUUUGAGACAUGCUUGUAGAAUUAUUCUUUUUUGGGUCCUUUUUUUGCUCCUGUAUAUGUGUAUUUUUGGGUGUGUUUAUGUAAUUUUUUGUUUUCAAGGACCUGAGCAUAUAUUUUCCCGUAAAUUAUUAUUGGCUUAAAAUUUC